GACGAACGCUGGCGGCGUGCUUAACACAUGCAAGUCGAACGGAAAGGCCCUGCUUUUGUGGGGUGCUCGAGUGGCGAACGGGUGAGUAACACGUGAGUAACCUGCCCUUGACUUUGGGAUAACUUCAGGAAACUGGGGCUAAUACCGGAUAGGAGCUCCUGCUGCAUGGUGGGGGUUGGAAAGUUUCGGCGGUUGGGGAUGGACUCGCGGCUUAUCAGCUUGUUGGUGGGGUAGGGGCUGACCAAGGCUUUGACGGGUAGCCGGCCUGGGAGGGUGACCGGCCACAUUGGGACUGAGAUACGGCCCAGACUCCUACGGGAGGCAGCAGUGGGGAAUAUUGCACAAUGGGCGGAAGCCUGAUGCAGCAACGCCGCGUGCGGGAUGACGGCCUUCGGGUUGUAAACCGCUUUCGCCUGUGACGAAGCGUGAGUGACGGUAAUGGGUAAAGAAGCACCGGCUAACUACGUG
rnacentral:rRNA from 1 species